UCCCAGCCGGCACACGACCGACCUUCAACGUUGAAAUAUGGUUGAAAUAAGGUCAGUUGUGUUUUGAACGUUGAAAUAAUGUUGAUAGAACGUUCAAUGUUGAAUGGUUGAAAAACAGCCUGCAUAUGACAAGGCUUCAACGUUGAAAUGUGGUUGAAAAUAUGUCAGUUGUUGCUUUAAUGUUGAAACAAUGUUGAAUGAUAAAUGGUUGAAAAAAGUUACAGAAAUCCUUGUACAAAUCAACGUUGACAUUUUUUUAUCAUGAUCUGUAUGUUGAAUUAACGUCAUGGCUUCACCCAACAUUCAACAUGUUUGGUUACCAUGGUAUCGGAGGACUCCGCGCACGCGGCCACGCGCAGCGCUUCACUUCACGUAAUUACGAACACCUGACCUGCAGUGCAGCAGAAUUCAGAGACAUGUAACUUACUCCAGAGACGCACUAACUUGCACAGCAUUGAAUGGAAAAGGCUUUGUCCAUGUCCAGUUGAGGGCAUUAAGAACACGCAGAUGGCCUAAACCUGUGUCAGCCUGGACAGACUGCAGUUCUGCUACUCCACACCAAGGCUUUUGUAUGGAUGUCUUGACUGCUACUGUGUUCUCUAAAGGUUUUCUGGAAGCUCCAUUUGAGGGCAUCAAGGACAUACUGAUGGCCUAAACCAGUGUCAGCCUAGACAGACAGACAUCUAUUGCAGUUCUGCUACACAAGACCAAACUCUCUGCUUUUGUAUGGAUGUCUGACUAGUACGGUGUUCUCUAAAGGUGGAACUAGAGCAAAACAACAGCACCCGUUACAGUGAAAUUUGUGUUCAUAAAAGAUAGUGAUAUAUCAGGUGUAGUAACAGGUCCAGUACAUUUGUCAUAAAGGUUAAAUCACAGUAAGUACUGUAAAAAUAACUUGUUUGCCUUUGCCACAACAGGUCAUGGUGUGUGCAUACUGCUCGUAAUAAACAC
ensembl:processed_transcript